rnacentral:pre_miRNA from 1 species
ACAACAUUCGGAACAUCGGUCUACCGAGCAAUUACACCCGCUCGGUGGAAGAUCUUUCCUCCAUCGC